UUAAGUCUGAUGUGAAAGCCCUCGGCUUAACCGAGGAAGCGCAUCGGAAACUGGGAAACUUGAGUGCAGAAGAGGACAGUGGAACUCCAUGUGUAGCGGUGAAAUGCGUAGAUAUAUGGAAGAACACCAGUGGCGAAGGCGGCUGUCUGGUCUGUAACUGACGCUGAGGCUCGAAAGCAUGGGUAGCGAACAGGAUUAGAUACCCUGGUAGUCCAUGCCGUAAACGAUGAAUGCUAGGUGUUGGAGGGUUUCCGCCCUUCAGUGCCGCAGCUAACGCAUUAAGCAUUCCGCCUGGGGAGUACGACCGCAAGGUUGAAACUCAAAGGAAUUGACGGGGGCCCGCACAAGCGGUGGAGCAUGUGGUUUAAUUCGAAGCAACGCGAAGAACCUUACCAGGUCUUGACAUCUUUUGAUCACCUGAGAGAUCAGGCUUCCCCUUCGGGGGCAAAAUGACAGGUGGUGCAUGGUUGUCGUCAGCUCGUGUCGUGAGAUGUUGGGUUAAGUCCCGCAACGAGCGCAACCCUUAUGACUAGUUGCCAGCAUUUAGUUGGGCACUCUAGUAAGACUGCCGGUGACAAACCGGAGGAAGGUGGGGAUGACGUCAAAUCAUCAUGCCCCUUAUGACCUGGGCUACACACGUGCUACAAUGGAUGGUACAACGAGUUGCGAGACCGCGAGGUCAAGCUAAUCUCUUAAAGCCAUUCUCAGUUCGGACUGUAGGCUGCAACUCGCCUACA
rnacentral:rRNA from 1 species